UGGGCCUGAUGGGAGUUACAUACGUAUCCUACAUCUCGUGAGAAUCAAACUGGCAUAGUUCGGGCAAUUUUGACUAAACAAAAAUGAACUAUUUUUCUUAAAAGAAGACUUUUUUUCAAAAUUUCGGCAAAGUUUCAGUAUAUUUUGGACAUCGAUUUUUCAAAACAGACAAUUAUCUCUCUCAACCCUCAUAUUGAUUUUCCUUCUCUCAAAUUUUCCCAUAUAAGCCGGUCAACAUGCAAAUCCAAAGCAAAUGAAUGCACAAGUAGCAAGUAGGAUGCAUCAGGAUGGUCUUUUCAUUUCAGGUACACCUGUCCUACAUAGAACCAACCCCUGUGUGUAAUCUCCAAAGUCAAAUGUACAUGACGCAAACAAACGUUCCUACUAGAGAUCCGGCAUGAGGCCGAGUUAUUCUAGGUUCAAAACCUGGGUAUAUUAUUCUAGACAUGUGUACCUGAGCGCAUAACUCGAGCCGAAGAUGGGGCUACGUACUGGGAACCAAAAGGCCAUCCGACUUAGUAACUUGUCCGAGCCUCUUUCUUAUUUCAAGGUAUGAGACUAACAGAAUAAGGAGUCACGGCCAGUGUGGACAGCCUCGAAGAUAUGAAAAGAAGGGUUUAGUAGCAGUUUAUAUACAGUUCAAAUAGUAUUAAAGCGGUAAAAAGCAGCAUUUAGCACAUUAGGCCCAAACAUGUAAUAAAAUCAUAUAAUAGAUAAAGCCAAAUAUAAUAGUUAUUCUAAACUCGAAUUCUGAAUCUUGAGCCAGAGAUUCUAGGUUCGAUCCCUAGCAGGGUCGCCAGAGCUAUCACACCUCCUUUUUACCAACACCCCGAGAAGGGUAUAAAGGAGUUUUUUCCGACUUAAAGUGACAAUCGAAACGGGAUCAUUUUUUAUUAAAAUUCAGAGUCGCCACUUAGGAUAAUUUUAUGGUGUCCUAAGUCACCAGUUCCACAUCCCGAAUCGAGGAAAGAAUGACUCUAUUUUACAGUCCGCGAACACAAAAAUCUAGUAUGGAAUUCUAUUAAUUCGGGAGAAGGUGUUAGGCAUUCCCGGGUUUCGUAGUUCUUGCACGGUCGCUCAAUUGUUAUAAUUGGUCUAUUAUCUGAUUUUAGUACAUGUCUUAACCUAUGAUAUGUUUUUAACUUUACAACUGCUUUUAUUAAUUUUUUAGGAAAGAUUCAACGUCAUCUAAAAUACGUCUUGAACUAUGUCACAUAAAUGCACUCGCGAUCCACGAAACAUUUUAUAUAAAAGUUGUUGAGAUUUGGAUUUAGGUCACAUAAAUGCACGCCCUAGUUUAGGAAAGUAAUUUGAAAUUACGCGCCUAAAGCAACUACACAUUUUUAGACUUUGCGAGGGCCGUGGAAAAUUUGCUAAUGGCGCACCUCGCUUUCUAAGAAUUAAAGUAUUAGUUAAACGAGGUCCAUGCAUAUUGAGAUUUUAUUUGGCACGGCACACCUUGAUUUAUCUUAAUAAAAGGGUUUCUAAACUAACUAUGGAGGGCCAUAAAGUGUAACUUAUCUAAUAUAGUUUGCCUUAAGCUAAACUAAGGUCACAACCAAUUUAAAAGAAAAAUGAACUUCCACCAAGUGAUAUUCCAUUUACAUUGUUCCAAUUCACAUGUAUGUAAUGCAUUAUUUACCAGUAGGAUUGGGGAAAUGAAUUCAGAUUUGUCACAUGUUUAAAAACCAGAACCUCCUUUAAAAGGAGUUGGGCUAGAAGGACAGCAAAAGGUUGGGGGUGGGGCAACGGGGAAGCUCGAUGACUUAGCUGGGCCGACUAGAAUCUGGGCCCAAAUAGGAGAACUAUGGAUCACUCAAAGUAGGCUUUAUCACCAUAGAGAUCCUAAAUUAAUUUAAUGUAGAAGAGAAAGGAGAAAAGCAUCGGGGUUAACAUUCAUUUGAAUCAAACUAUUACAAAGCAAGGCCCAUUCGAAUAUGGACCCAAAAGACAUGCGAAUAAACUACCACUUGACUUCCAGAUUUUAAUUUUUCCAACAUGGAACGAAAUAAACAUUCUGAACAACAAUUCCCAAAUCAAGCAAUCAUUUGGUCAUUAUGCUUGAAAUCAAUUUUCAACAAGCUUCAAAAGACAAUUAUGAAACUCCAAGUUUACUUAAACCUUUACUGAAUCCAUGUGACUAAUAAACAAAAACUUGUGGGGUGACCCAAUGAGUAUAAAUGAAUCUAAACCUUAAGCUCAAAAAUGAUCAUGCUUACAAAACAGAAUCUGGGUAAAUCAAUAUCGUACAGGCCAAUACUUAGAAUUUCAAUGAAUCCAAAUGGACGUCAAAGCUAAAACAACACGGAUCUUCAGCAAAAACUGAACAAAGGUCUACAACCCAAAGCAUUAAAUCAAACCUCUAUUGCAAAGCUUAACAGCUCAUUUACCUAACACACACUCGAACUCAUUAAAAAGAAAACAGAAUAGCUAGAGUCCAUAGUUAAUUUACCAUUACAAAUACUUCUACUCUUUGACACAGAUUCAGAAUAUCUCACUCUAACACAUGGAUUCAGAAUAUACAAGUAAUAAAAGAGAAAGCCCAACUGACAUUUACAAUUCGAGAUCUAACUGUAGAGUCUUCAAGCCGUAAGAGAACAGGGGAAGCUAAAUUCAAAUGCAUCUUGCAUUCAAUUAGAAUUUCACUUGAAUUAUAUGUUCAACAGUCACUCAUUGUUUAUAGGUUAAAGAGAUACCUGAAAAGAAAAGAAAAUAAGAAGAGUGAAGGAUGAGCAGCAGUAGAACAGUGUCAGCAGCAAUGUAACAGUGAAAAACUAGAAAAUCCCGGCAAAAAACAACUUCUUCAGACUAUUUCAAACCCAGAAUGAAUCCACAAUUACCCCCAACUUCUAAAACUCAAAGCAUUACACACAGAACUCCAAUGUAAUAGUGUUUUCCAGUGUUUUCUUUGUAUUUUUCCUUCUAGUUUUCAGACCUUUUUAGUGUUUAAAGCUUUUUGUAGCCGUUUUUGAUUUCUCAGAAUUUCAUCUCUUUAUUUCUG
rnacentral:lncRNA from 1 species